GAUGAACGCUGGCGGCGUGCCUAAUACAUGCAAGUCGAGCGGACAGACGAGGAGCUUGCUCCUCUGACGUUAGCGGCGGACGGGUGAGUAACACGUGGAUAACCUACCUAUAAGACUGGGAUAACUUCGGGAAACCGGAGCUAAUACCGGAUAAUAUAUUGAACCGCAUGGUUCAAUAGUGAAAGACGGUUUUGCUGUCACUUAUAGAUGGAUCCGCGCCGCAUUAGCUAGUUGGUAAGGUAACGGCUUACCAAGGCGACGAUGCGUAGCCGACCUGAGAGGGUGAUCGGCCACACUGGAACUGGGACACGGUCCAGACUCCUACGGGAGGCAGCAGUAGGGAAUCUUCCGCAAGGGGCGAAAGCCUGACGGAGCAGCGCCGCGUGAGUGAUGAAGGUCUUCGGAUCGUAAAACUCUGUUAUUAGGGAAGAACAAAUGUGUAAGUAACUAGGCACGUCUUGACGGUACCUAAUAAGAAAGCCACGGCUAACUACGUGC
rnacentral:rRNA from 1 species